UACGGAGGGGGCUAGCGUUGUUCGGAAUGACUGGGCGUAAAGGGCGCGUAGGCGGCGAUCCAAGUUAGAUGUGAAAGGCCUGGGCUCAACCCGGGAACUACAUUUGAUACUGGAUUGCUUGAGUCCGGGAGAGGAUGGCGGAAUUCCCAGUGUAGAGGUGAAAUACGUAGAGAUUGGGAAGAACACCAGUGGCGAAGGCGGCUAUCUGGACGGUUUCUGACGCUAAGACGCGAAAGCGUGGGGAGCAAACAGG
rnacentral:rRNA from 1 species